AGAUAUUUAAGUUGUGCCCUCCUAGGACUACCAGAUACUUUUACCUUUACUUGCUCAUAGACAGCUCAGCUGAGUUUGAAAGGGAUCCACACAUAAUAAAAGCUCCGCUAAUAAAAAGUUGUUAUAUUGAAAAUGGUGACAUCUGCUGUUAUUCACUGAAAAGUCUCAAGCUUUGUGCAAUGGCAGCAUUCGAGGAGCGAUUAUUGCUAAUUGAAAACUAUCACCUUCACAAAUCUCAGCAAAAACUUAUGGUCUUCUCCUACCUCAUACCACAAAGAAAUAUCAAAUCUAAUUGGAUUGAAGAUCCCCAUGUGAAAUGAAAAACCAAUACAUUUCUAGAAGAUAAAAUAGGAGAAUAUCUUCAUGGCCUUG